UAAUACGAAGGUGGCAAGCGUUAUUCGGAAUCACUGGGCUUAAAGCGCGCGUAGGCGGAAUAUUAAGUGUCUUGUGAAAUCCCUCGGCUUAACCGAGGAAUUGCUUGGCAUACUGGUAUUCUUGAGGCAAGUAGGGGUGCAUGGAACUCUUAGUGGAGCGGUGGAAUGCGUAGAUAUUAAGAGGAACGCCAAUGGUGAAGACAGUGCACUGGGCUUGUCCUGACGCUGAGGUGCGAAAGCGUGGGGAGCGAACGGGAUUAGAUGCCCCGGUAGUCCACGCCGUAAACGAUGUCUACUAGAUCGUGGAGGUUCUGACGCCGUCACGGUCGAAGCAAAAGUGUUAAGUAGACCGCCUGGGGAGUACGGUCGCAAGGCUA
rnacentral:rRNA from 1 species